rnacentral:rRNA from 1 species
UAGGAAUUGGCGGGGGAGCACCACAAGGGGUGAAGCUUGCGGUUUAAUUGGAGUCAACGCCGGAAAUCUCACCGGGAGCGACAGCAGUGUGAAGGCCAGAUUAAAGGUCUUGCCAGACGAGCUGAGAGGAGGUGCAUGGCCGUCGCCAGUUCGUGCCGUGAGGUGUCCUGUUAAGUCUGGCAACGAUCGAGACCCACGCCCACAGUUGCCAGCGUACUCUCCGGAGUGACGGGUACACUGUGGGGACCGCCGCUGCUAAAGCGGAGGAAGGAAUGGGCAACGGUAGGUCAGUAUGCCCCGAAUAUCCCGGGCUACACGCGGGCUACAAUGGAUGGGACAAUGGGCUCCGACACCGAAAGGUGAAGGCAAUCUCUUAAACCCAUUCUUAGUUCGGAUUGAGGGCUGAAACUCGCCCUCAUGAAGCUGGAAUCCGUAGUAAUCGCGUUUCAAAAUAGCGCGGUGAAUACGUCCCUGCUCCUUGCACACACCGCCCGUCAAACCACCCGAGUGGGGUUUAUGUGAGGGCGUGGUUUUUGCCACGUUCGAACAUAGGUUCCGCAAGGGGGGUUAAGUCGUAACAAGGUAGCCUCAGUCAGUCA